rnacentral:rRNA from 1 species
UACAGAGGGGGCAAGCGUUGUUCGGAAUUACUGGGCGUAAAGCGAGCGUAGUCGGUUAUUUAAGUCGGGUGUGAAAGCCCCGGGCUCAACCUGGGAAUUGCAUUCGAUACUGGAUAGCUAGAGUUCGGCAGAGGGAAGCGGAAUUUCCGGUGUAGCAGUGAAAUGCGUAGAUAUCGGAAGGAACAUCAGUGGCGAAAGCGGCUUCCUGGACCAGAACUGACGAUCAGGCUCGAAAGCGUGGGGAGCAAACAGG